rnacentral:rRNA from 1 species
GAUGAACGCUGGCGGCGUGCCUAAUACAUGCAAGUCGAGCGAACGGACGAGAAGCUUGCUUCUCUGAUGUUAGCGGCGGACGGGUGAGUAACACGUGGAUAACCUACCUAUAAGACUGGGAUAACUUCGGGAAACCGUAGCUAAUACCGGAUAAUAUUUUGAACCGCAUGGUUCAAAAGUGAAAGACGGUCUUGCUGUCACUUAUAGAUGGAUCCGCGCUGCAUUAGCUAGUUGGUAAGGUAACGGCUUACCAAGGCAACGAUGCAUAGCCGACCUGAGAGGGUGAUCGGCCACACUGGAACUUAGACACGGUCCAGACUCCUACGGGAGGCAGCAGUAGGGAAUCUUCCGCAAUGGGCGAAAGCCUGACGGAGCAACGCCGCGUGAGUGAUGAAGGUCUUCGGAUCGUAAAACUCUGUUAUUAGGGAAGAACAUAUGUGUAAGUAACUGUGCACAUCUUGACGGUACCUAAUCAGAAAGCCACGGCUAACUACGUG